rnacentral:rRNA from 1 species
AUUGAACGCUGGCGGCAUGCUUUACACAUGCAAGUCGAACGGUAACAGGUUAAGCUGACGAGUGGCGAACAGGUGAGUAAUGCAUCGGAACGUGCCCGAUCGUGGGGGAUAACGCAGCGAAAGCUGCGCUAAUACCGCAUACGAUCUGAGGAUGAAAGCGGGGGACCGUAAGGCCUCGCGCGAUCGGAGCGGCCGAUGUCAGAUUAGGUAGUUGGUGGGGUAAAGGCUCACCAAGCCGACGAUCUGUAGCUGGUCUGAGAGGACGACCAGCCACACUGGGACUGAGACACGGCCCAGACUCCUACGGGAGGCAGCAGUGGGGAAUGUUGGACAAUGGGCGAAAGCCUGAUCCAGCAAUGCCGCGUGCAGGAAGAAGGCCUUCGGGUUGUAAACUGCUUUUGUACGGAGCGAAAAGGCUCUCUCUAAUACAGGGGGCUCAUGACGGUACCGUAAGAAUAAGCACCGGCUAACUACGUGCCAGCCGCCGCCGUAA